AUUGAACGCUGGCGGCAGGCCUAACACAUGCAAGUCGAACGAGUGGCGGACGGGUGCGUAAUGUCUGGGAAACUGCCUGAUGGCGGGGGCUAACUACUGGAAACGGUAUCUAAUACCGCAUACCAUCGGAGGUGCCCAAAUGGGAUUAGCUAGUAGGUGGGGUAAAGGCUCACCUAGGCCACGAUCCCUAGCUGGUCUGAGAGGAUGACCAGCCACUCUGGAACUGAGACACGGUCCAGAUUCCUACGGGAGGAAGCAGUGGGGAAGAUUGGACAAUGGGCGCAAGCCUGAUGCAGCCAUGCAGCGUGUAUGAAGAAGGCCUUCGGGUUGUAAAGUACUUUCAGCGGGGAAGCGUUACCCGCAGAAGAAGCACCGGCUAACUCCGUGCCAGCAGCCGCGGUAAUUC
rnacentral:rRNA from 1 species